CCUACGGGUGGCUGCAGUGAGGAAUAUUGGUCAAUGGGCGCUAGCCUGAACCAGCCAAGUAGCGUGAAGGAUGACUGCCCUAUGGGUUGUAAACUUCUUUUAUAUGGGAAUAAAGUGCAGUAUGUAUACUGCUUUGCAUGUACCUUAUGAAUAAGGAUCGGCUAACUCCGUGCCAGCAGCCGCGGUAAUACGGAGGAUCCGAGCGUUAUCCGGAUUUAUUGGGUUUAAAGGGAGCGUAGGCGGGUUGUUAAGUCAGUUGUGAAAGUUUGCGGCUCAACCGUAAAAUUGCAGUUGAUACUGGCAUCCUUGAGUACAGUAGAGGUAGGCGGAAUUCGUGGUGUAGCGGUGAAAUGCUUAGAUAUCACGCAGAACUCCGAUUGCGAAGGCAGCAUACCGGCGCUCAACUGACGCUGAGGCACGAAAGCGUGGGGAUCGAACAGGAUUAGAUACCCCAGUAGUC
rnacentral:rRNA from 1 species